GAUAAAAUGCGGACGCGGACCGCGGACUGCGGACAGGAGAAACUGCGGACUUUCACCUGCGGACUGGCCCAAAAUUUUUGACAGCAGUCCGCAGUUUCUCCACAGGGUAGCUGUCCGCAGUCCGCGUAUUAUACGGGGAUACAGCAUUCCAUAUAGACAUGUCUAUGCGUUGGACAAGACAGAUCAACCUUAUUUUGGUCAUGCAUUGGCUGUUGUUCGAUAACUGUUGCUUUUUAAAAAUAUGUAUGCAUGCAACAAUUCCAAUGAAUAAAAAUAAAAAUGCGCACAGCUCUUAGCAGCUGACUAUUUUAUUUAUUUUUUUCCUAUAGGCCAAAUCCAUUAUAUUCUAUUUUCUUUUAUGCACAUUAAGAAUUUGAAUUAGACAACCGUAGCGCAGUUAAGUCGUCCUUCAGAAGGCGGCAAUGUGAUACCAAACUUUGCAAAGAAUGGUACCACAAGGAAUGCCUUCCAAAAGAACAGCAUUAUGCCUUUCAGGAGUUUUUAAAAACCCCUUGGAAAUACCCCAAAUCCUUUUAAGUUUAUUACAUGUUUUAUUUGCAUUGUUGUACCAAGAGUUUACCUAGUUAAGAAGUAACCAUGUUAUAUAAACUGUCCUUUACUUUCAUAUUUUGAAUAAUGCAUAUGUUGACUUUUAAAUACUAUUUUUAGUUUGAAAUUUAAUAUCAGAUAUGGGCAUGGAGUCCGCAGAUACCAGUCCACAGUUUAUCCUGUCUGGUCCGCACUUUCAAUCGCUCCAUGUACGAAACGGUCCGCAUUUUAUCCCUAAGUCCACGAAAAAUCUGUCAAAAAAUUUUGGGCCAGUCCGCAGGUGAAAGUCCGCAGUUUCUCCUGUCCGCAGUCCGCGGUCCGCGUCCGCAUUUUAUCCUGGCCCUUUUUUUUAUGUUUCAGGAUGUUACAUUUUUUUGCCAGUCUCCAGAUGACAAUAAUGAACAACACAGCUUA